CUUGUACUCCCUCCGUCCGAAAAUACUUGUCAUUGAAAUGGAUGUAUCUAGAUGUAUUUUAGUUCUAGACACAGACAUUUUGAUGACAAGUAAUUCCAGACGGAAGGAGUACUUG
rfam:Triticum aestivum genome assembly, contig: Triticum_aestivum_CS42_TGACv1_scaffold_260381_3DL